rnacentral:rRNA from 1 species
GACGAACGCUGGCGGCGUGCCUAAUACAUGCAAGUAGAACGCACAGUUUAUACCGUAGCUUGCUACACCAUAGACUGUGAGUUGCGAACGGGUGAGUAACGCGUAGGUAACCUGCCUGGUAGCGGGGGAUAACUAUUGGAAACGAUAGCUAAUACCGCAUAAUAUUAAUUAUUGCAUGAUAAUUGAUUGAAAGAUGCAACUGCAUCACUACCAGAUGGACCUGCGUUGUAUUAGCUAGUAGGUGAGGUAACGGCUCACCUAGGCGACGAUACAUAGCCGACCUGAGAGGGUGAUCGGCCACACUGGGACUGAGACACGGCCCAGACUCCUACGGGAGGCAGCAGUAGGGAAUCUUCGGCAAUGGACGAAAGUCUGACCGAGCAACGCCGCGUGAGUGAAGAAGGUUUUCGGAUCGUAAAGCUCUGUUGUAAGAGAAGAACGGGCGUGAGAGUGGAAAGUUCACACUGUGACGGUAUCUUACCAGAAAGGGACGGCUAACUACGUG